rnacentral:rRNA from 1 species
UGGGGAAUAUUGCGCAAUGGACGAAAGUCUGACGCAGCAACGCCGCGUGAGGGAUGAAGUACGUCGAGAUGUAAACCUCUUUCAGCAGGGACGAAGCGAAAGUGACGGUACCUGCAGAAGAAGGACCGGCUAACUACGUGCCAGCAGCCGCGGUAAUACGUAGGGUCCGAGCGUUGUCCGGAUUUAUUGGGCGUAAAGGGCUCGUAGGCGGUUUGUCGCGUCGGAUGUGAAAACUCGGAGCUUAACUCCGGGCCUGCAUUCGAUACGGGCAGACUAGAGUUCGGUAGGGGAGACUGGAACUCCUGGUGUAGCGGUGGAAUGCGCAGAUAUCAGGAAGAACACCGAUGGCGAAGGCAGGUCUCUGGGCCGACACUGACGCUGAGGAGCGAAAGCGUGGGGAGCAAACAGG